GAUGAACGCUGGCGGCGUGCCUAAUACAUGCAAGUCGAGCGAACGGACGAGAAGCUUGCUUCUCUGAUGUUAGCGGCGGAAGGGGGAGUAAAACGUGGAUAAACUACCUAUAAGACUGGGAUAAAUUCGGGAAACCGGAGCCAAUAACGGAUAAUAAUUUGAACCGCAUGGUUCAAAAGUGAAAGACGGUUUUGCCGUCACUUAUAGAUGGAUCCGCGCUGCAUUAGCUAGUUGGUAAGGUAACGGCUUACCAAGGCAACGAUGCAUAGCCGACAUGAGAGACGGUGCGGCCACAUUGGAACUGAGACACGGCCCAGACUCCUACGGGAGGCUGCACUAGUGAAUCUUCCACAAUGUGCGAAAGCCUGAUAUAUCAAUGCCGCGUGUGUGAUGAAGGCUUUCGGGUCGUAAAGCACUUUUGUCUAGUAAGAACAGCUGGAAUUGGAAAUGUUCAUAGUUUGACGGUACCAUACCAGAAAGUGACGGCUAAAUUCGUG
rnacentral:rRNA from 1 species